rnacentral:rRNA from 1 species
CAGGACGGCCAUAGGAGCCUGGUUCACCCGUUCCCAUUUCGAACACGGAAGUUAAGCAGGCUUCCGUUUUUGAGUGUACUGCACUUAUGUGCGGGAAAUCAAGAAAGCUGU